ensembl:lncRNA
GCUGACGUUAGACACCGCCUCAGACAUCACUUGUGGUUUGGCACAUGCGCUGACCUUAGACACUCUUCAGGAUCACUGGCGGUUGGGCACCACUAGCGGUUGGGCACAUGUGCUGGACUUAAGACACCCUUCAAGGAUGAAAAGCAUUCAAGGAGAGUUUUCAGGGAGGAACACAUUUCAGCGGGAGAGAAGAGCCAGGUUACAGAAAGCAGAGAGCACUGGAAUGCAGAUGGGAACUGCUCAAGAUUUUAGAGCAGUAUGGGAUACAAACUGAGAAGUGUGCUUUCCAGACGGUUCUUUGUCAACUCUAGGAAGAAAGGUGACACUUCAAUGAGACUUUGGACUUGCCAUCGAUGUUGGAAUGGCUUAAAGCUUCUAGGGAUGUCGAGAUGAGGUGACACUUCAAUGAGACUUUGGACUUGCCAUCGAUGUUGGAAUGGCUUAAAGCUUCUAGGGAUGUCGAGAUGAGAUCAACAAUGGAGAAGAAAAUGGCAACCCACUCCAGUAUUCUUGCCUGGAGAAUCCCAGGGACAGAGGAGCCUGGUGGGCUACCAUCUGUGGGGGCGCACAGAGUCGGACACGACUGACGCAACUUAGCAGCAGCAAGCAGCAGCAGCUCAACAAAAUACAGGCUCAACUUCUGAGACAACCUGGAUAUCCACCCCCAAUCCCUCUGUUGACUUCCUCAAGCCACUCCCCCUUGGAUAGACAUCAGCAGCCCUUACUGGCCCUCCUCAUUGACAGCUAGCAAGUGAUGGACACCCAAGGCCCCUCACUGCCCCAGCUCAGCAGGCAGUAGCCAGAAUGAAUGACACCCAUUUCCCCAAUGAAUUGGGGUCCAUGCACGUGAGGGGG